AGUUUCCUUAGGAUUCCAACGGAACUCUAGGACAUCGCCUAAGGAGUUCUUUCCCAACUUAUCAAGCGGAUUUCCAUACCAUUUGUCACGUCUUCCAUUGUACCAAGGUAUUGGCAUAUGUGCUGUGCUUAUGUAGGAGUGAAGACCAAUUGCUUAUUUCAGCGAAAAGUUGAGUGGGGCCACCUUAAACUAUCUAACUUAUGAGAAGGAGAUGUAUGCAUUGGUUAGAGCCUUGGAAACUUGGAAGCACUACCUUUGGCCUAAGAAGCUCUUGAUUCACACUGAUCAUGAGUCCUUGAGCACUUGAAAUAUCAACCCAAGCUAAACAAAAGGCAUGCUCGUUGGGUGGAGUUUAUUGAGACAUUUCCUUAUGACAUUCGAUACAAGCAAGUUAAGGAAAAUGUUGUUGCUAACGCUCUUUCUCGAAGGUAUUGAUUUGAGGACAAAUUUUUUUCAAGAGGAGGGGAACGAUGCAAAUGAUAGCAUGGAUGACAAUGACAUGACUUCAAGAGAAUAUUUUGUUCAAGUUCCAUGUGGGCCAAUUACUAGAUGUUGUGCAAAGAGGGUGGAAGAAUCUCUUAAUGGAUUAAUCCAUGAGACUUGGACUCAAGCCAAUUCCUAUGAUCUAAGGACAAAGAGCCACAAAGAUUUGUCAGCUUAUUCGAAACCCAAGGAAAAAUGAGACAUAUUAUUAUGGCUGAAUAUUUUGUAUUUUUUUUAUUGUGGUUGAAUAAUGGCUUGC